CCAAUAGCGUAUAUUAAAGUUGUUGCAGUUAAAAAGCUCGUAGUUGAAUUUCGGGGUUCAUCCGUUGGUCGGGCUUUUUUGGUCUGUACUGGCGUGAUGGAUUCCUACCUUCUGAAUAACCAGCAUGUCAUUAAUUUGGUGCGCUGGGGAAGCAGGACUGUUACCUUGAAAAAAUUAGAGUGCUUAAAGCAGGCUAUCGCCUGAAUACAUUAGCAUGGAAUAAUGAAAUAGGACGGCAUGGUUCUAUUUUGUUGGUUUCUAGGAUCACCGUAAUGAUUAAUAGGGAUAGUUGGGGGCAUUAGUAUUCAAUUGUCAGAGGUGAAAUUCUUGGAUUUAUUGAAGACUAACUUCUGCGAAAGCAUUUGCCAAGGAUGUUUUCAUUAAUCAAGAACGAAAGUUAGGGGAUCGAAGACGAUCAGAUACCGUCGUAGUCUUAACCAUAAACUAUGCCGACUAGGGAUCGGACGAUGUUAAUUUUUUAAUGACUCGUUCGGCGCCUUACG
rnacentral:ncRNA from 2 species